AACGCACCUUGCGCUCCUUGGCAUUCCGAGGAGCAUGCCUGUUCGAGUGUCUUUAAAACAGUCGACCCCAAGUCAUUGUUGGGGCUCGGAUAUUGGAUGUUGUGCAGCCUUCUUCCCCGAGGGUUGCUCGUCCCAAACUCAUUAGCCGCGACGCGUUUCGUCCUGGUGGUGGAGUGUAAAUGCAUCUCCGCGAAAGCCAGCCUGUCGUGCCGCGCGGCUGCCAGCCGUCUUCUUGACACACGUUCUUUUUUUGGCCUCGAAUCAGGCAGGACUACCCGCUGAACUUAA
rnacentral:misc_RNA from 1 species